rnacentral:tRNA from 1 species
UGGAGUGUAGCUCAGUGGUGGAGUGCUUGCUUUGCAUGCACAAGACUCUGGGUCCCAUCCCAGCACUGCAA